GUCAAUAUUAAUCAAUAAUAUAUUUUCUCCCGUGCAUUCUCACAGUCUACAAAGUACAUAUUACUCCCAUUCCAAUGUGGGACUAUACAUAACUAACAAUAAGCAUGAACUUGAUCGAUGUUAGAGUCUCAUAUUUAGGAAGGUUUUCGUGCUUGUUCUUCGAAUGUGAGCACUGUAGCCAAUCAAUAAAAGCUACUUGUAGUGGUAGAUAUUUCUGAACAAGUUCCUGGAUAACAAGCCUAAAGGUUUUCUUUUAAUGAGAUUGAUAUUGAUGAUAGUGACAACACAGAGGGAUCAACGCGUAAACUUGAAGGGCUAGGGGACUCCUUUAACUCAAUAAUGAAAGUUAGGAUCGAUAGGAGGAGGCCUUACCUCUUAGAUGACCCAAGCAAGUUAUUAAUUUAUUGGAUGGAUCCUCCUAACUGUAGUUACAGGAGAAUGGACGUCAAAUCCUUGGUAUUAAAAUGAUGGAAGUUUUUGCGCCAUUCUGUUUGAUUCUUUGCCUGCAUAAUAAAUUUCUUUUGAAUCUACUUUUAUAUGUAACUUUAUGAAAGAAACAAGUUGAUUCUUUGUAAAAAUGUUAAGACUACAGUACUGCUAAUUGUUCUCUCAAACUCUCUUCCCUUGAAAGUAUGUGCAUUACUGCAUUCAAUUUGGUGGUUGAGGUAGGGGGUGAGGCUGCGUGGUGAAUGCUGAACAGCUGAGGUUGUGUUGAAUGAAGAGAUAAAAGACACCCCAACUACAUGCAACAAGAAACUGACUUUGCUAUUUCUGCAAAGAGCACCAAUCAUCUGCACUUAUUGGACCUGAUACUUGCCCCAAGAGGUCACAAAAAGCAUAAAUGGUUCCUUGAAUUGUACAAUCCUACUUAUCUACCUUUGUGUACUUCUUGUAUGUUGGAAGACUCCUUGCUACCAUACAUCAACAAAAUUUUACCUUCUAAAAAAAGGGAAUAUCAUUUUUUCUUAAGUUAAAUACUAUAGGAUACUAGUUACUGAUUUGUCCCAUUAAGCUUCACAUUACAUUGUUAGAGGGAGAAUUUCUUUUUGAUUCUUAAAUCUGUCAUUCUAAAAUUGCUUUGUUUCUACUGUUAGGGGAUCUCUGACUUGCAAUUUUGGUGAUUCUCUUCUCUGUUUUAUUUUUAAAUUUUUCUUUUCCUGCAGUUCUCAGAGCCAUCUGGAAUCGUUGAAGCAGAAAAUGGAAGAUUAUACAUAGCAGAUACGAAUAACAGUGUGAUAAGAUACUUAGACCUGAACAAGUCAGAAGUUGAAGUUCUUACUCUGGAGUUAAAAGGAGUGCAGCCACCACUUAAAUCCAGAUCUUUGAAGCGCCUUAGACGGCGUUCUGGAGCUGACUCACAGACUAUUGUUGUUAAUGGUGGUUCAUCUAACGAGGGUACAUUAAACUUAAGAAUCUCGGUACCUGAAGGGUACCAUUUCUCAAAGGAAGCACAAAGUAAAUUUAGCAUAGAUUUUGAUCCAGAUGCUGCUGCUGUUGUUGAUUCCUUGGAGGGAAAUCUCAGCCAAGAAGGUUCAGCAGUAGUGCACUUCAGAAGAUCUUCUGCUUCAACAUCCACCGGCAGAGUUUAUUGCAAGGUAUACUAUUGCAAAGAAGAUGAGGUUUGCUUGUACCAGUCUUUGACCUUUGAAGUACCAUUUCAAGAGGUAAAUCCUGAUUCUGCCCCUGCCAUGAUCACACUUCCCUUUGAUGUGAAGCCAAAAACAUCCCCAAGUAGCUUACCGAUACCGGAGAAGUGAUUCAUCGAUCACAAACUUGUUUAUAGUUACACAUGUAUUUAUAUUAAAAUGUUUAGUUCGGUGUUUGCACUCUGUAAUUAUACUGAAUUAAACAUUUUAACCGUUAAAAGUUACAAAAUAAAGUGUGAAUACGUAUUAUAGCUAUUACUAAUUGAUAAAUGGAUGUAUAAAAGUCACACGUCAUUUAUUUA